AAUAAAAAAGAAAACAGAAGGCCCUGCAAUCUGCCUCAUUGCAUUACCGCGGUACUGCUCGCCUCUCAGCUCUCGCUUCUUUCAAGCUGGAACGAAGCAAACGACGUAGCAGUAGAUUCAGCAUCGGAUAAUAUUUCAGACGGAAAUUUUGUCAAUUUUGAAGGUGGAGCUUUGUUAGAAUCUGCCAUGAACCGUCCUCCUGCUCAAUUUGCCCACCCAUCCUUUACUCUCAUUCCCUCAAAUCCUAAUCCUAACCCCAACUUCUUCCACUCUCAGCCACAAAACACACAACCUGUAAUCUCCACUCCUCCUUUGCCUCCUCCUGACCUUUCUACCACAAUCUCAUCUCUCGAUAGCCUCGUUCGCGACUCUUACCAGACCCUUGACUCACUUUCUGCUCUCCUCCCUCUCCAAAACCCAAAUUAUGACAACCCCCAGAGUUCCCUCAUCCCCUGCCCUUUCAACCCCCACCACCGUGUGCACCCUCACUCCCUUUUCUCCCACUCCCUCCACUGCCCAUCUCAUCCUCACCCUCUCCCGCACCUCAACUACCCCAAAACUCUCAAAUCCUCUGACCAAUCUCAAACUGAAAAAAGUUUUCUCCAAACUCUUCAUGGCUCAGAGGCUGACCUGCGCUUGUCUUUGGAGCAUUAUUAUGCAGAUUUUGGUUCAAAUUUCUUCUACAGUGACUGCCCUGGUGUUGUUAACUUUUCUGGUCUGGAUGGUGUCAACAGAAUGUUUACACUUCCCUUGAUUUUGUCUGUUGAGUGUGCAAAUUUUAUCGGUAGAGGAGAGAGAGAAAUUAUGGAUUUUGAGAAAGAGUGGUGUAGAAUUCUUCCAUCUGAGUUGUGGGCUAUUAAAACCGAAGUUGAGGGCUGGAAUGAGUUUCCUUUUACGUACUCAUACCGCGUUCUUUGUGCCAUUUUGGGGUUGGGUGUGGUUAAAGAGUAUGAUGUAGGCACAUGGAUAAUUGCAAAUUCACCACAAUAUGGCAUUGUGAUUGAUGUGGCCAUGAGGGAUCAUAUAUUUUUGCUUUCCAGGCUGUGCUUGAAGGCUAUUUUAAGGGAAGCUUUAAGUAAGGUAAAGGAAGGAGAUCCAGAGAGUACACAUUUUGAGUGUCCCACUUUGGUUCAAGCUUUGAUGUGGCUAGCCUCUCAGCUUUCCAUACUGUAUGGUGCACAGAAUGGGAAAUUAUUUGUCAUAAACGUCCUUAAGAAAUGCUUAUUAGAUGCUGCACUGGGCUCCUUAACUUUCCCAUUGGAGCAACAGGUGACAGAGUAUCCUGCUUUAGAAGAGGGUUUGUUGAAUUUGGAUGCCAAUGGCAGUGGUGUUAGGGAUGCUGAAGUUAUGAAACCACUAAGUACACAUGGUGGAGAGAAUAGCAUGGUGAAGGAAAACAUUUUCAGUAGGGAGGUAUUUGUGUCCCAGGUUGCAGCAGCCGUUGCAGCAUUGCAUGAGAGGUUCUUGCUAGAAGAGAAACUUAAGGCACAACGGGUUUCACAAACCUUUACUAGAUAUCAACGGAUGGUUGAUCAUGAAUAUGUGUCACAGAGAGCUGAUGAGGAGCGGAAAAACCGAAGUCAGUAUAGACCUAUUAUUGACCAUGAUGGGCUCCCUCGGCAGCAAUCAUGUAACCAGGAAACAAACAAGCCUAAGACUAGAGAGGAGUUAUUGGCAGAAGAAAGAGACUACAAAAGACGAAGAAUGUCAUAUCGUGGAAAAAAGGUGAAGCGAACAACUUUGCAGGUUAUGAGGGAUAUUAUAGAGGAGUACAUGGAGGAAAUCAAGCAAGCGGGAGGGAUUGGAUGCUUUGAGAAAGGAACUGAAGGGGAAGGGAGCUUUCCAUUUGAACUUCCAUCAGCUCCUGAAAUCACCACCGAUGCUGAAAAGCCAACAAAAAGCAAUUAUGACUCAGCGGGAUGUAGCCCAAGUCGUAGCAGGAAACGGUCUCAUUCUAGUUAUUAUGCUAUUGAUUCUGUAACAUCCAGGGAUGCUUCUGCCAAAGGUAGCGAAAAACCAAGACGGAGUCUUCAGGGACACCAUCACUAUCUAGAAGAUCAUAGAAGUGACAGUAGGGACAGACGUGAUAUGGUGAAACAUUCCAGAAGUCCAGAGAGUCGCAGAAAUCCUGGAUGGGCACACGGACAGACUCGUCAUCACAGGGAACGAGAUGAUCUGGAGGUGAGAAAGACCAAGCACCGUGAAAUCAGUCGGUCAUCUUCUAGCAUAUCCAAGUAUCGUGAUAAUAGAUCAUCUUCUCAUUCGAAUUCGGGUGAGAAUUCAAAAGUUAGAAGGGAUAGGUACACAUAUGAGAAUCAUAAUUCAAACUCUGUGGUACAAAAUACUUUUGAGGAUAGAUAUGAUCCUUUAAUAUCUCGUGACAUAUAUGAAGAGGAUCUUUCUACUGACAGAAAAUAUGCUAGAGCGGGCAGAUAUUCUGAAAAAGAGAAAAGUCCUGACUACCAUUAGAAAUCUGAGUGUGAUGUGGCACGAAUCAGGCUUCAACAAUUUUAACUUCAUCUGUAUCCUCCUUUUGUAUCCUUGAAUUUUUUAUUAUUAUUUAAAUUUCUUCCCUCAUUCUCGUUCUGAAUAUAACAAAACAUUGCUCGUACUGGUUAUUCCCAUAGUCAUCAUGAUUUUUUACCCUCGUCAAUUAGCAUCAUGGUAUCAGUUGAGACUGAUCCUGUUCUCUGUUUCUUUGCAUUAAAGCUUAAUGUGUCUAAAAUAAUAUAAAUCCUUACGGGAGGAGAGCAGGGUCAUUGGCUUAGAGAGGCUACAGUACAAGAUCCCAAUAUGCAAAUAAGGGUAAACAGAUACGAGAAUUCCCACAGCUUCUGGUAGAAUGCUAAAGAAGUUCAUGAAGGAUUGUGGAUGAAGCAUGGUACCGGCACUUUGACCGUUAUUUCGAUGCAACAGUUUUUGCUCAUAUAAUGCAGUUCUGUUAUGGUUCCUAUGAGUUUAUACAGAUCUGAGGAAGGGCAUAUGUAACUCCUAGCUUCUUUUUACCCCAUUGCAAUAUGCUGAUGGAAGAAGAAUGUUUGUCAUGUAAACAUCCAGAUAAACAACAAUAAAGAUGGUUGAUACUUACUAACACCCACCCGGUUCUCCUAAAAAGUUGUUUUAUGGUUGUUACUAAGGUUAGGUUUAGUUUAGAUUUAUUUAUCAGUUUAACCACGAGUUUCACAUUUCUAUUUUUAAUGGAAACCUUUAAAUGAGGCACAA